GAUUUGUGCCCCUUUAAUGGCUACGCUUUCUGUUCUCUUGUUUUAUAUUGGCGCUUUGUCUUCGAUUCCAUUCCUGUCAGCCUCGGAAUCUAUUUGCCCUGAUGAAUGUGCUUUCUUUUUAUUUAAACUUAAAUCUCAAUGCCCUCUUUCGAUCUCUUCAUAUCCCCCUCUCGAGGUCAGUGGGAACUUCCUGGAUAGAGCUUUGACUUCAAAACAGAGAAACUCGUACACAGCUAUACUCUUCUAUGUUUCCUGGUGCCCAUUUUCAUGCAGUAUGCGUCCUAGAUUUAAUAUGCUUGGUUCAAUGUUCCCUCAAAUAGAGCAUUUGGCCAUUGAGCAAUCUUCAGCCCUCCCGAGUGUAUUUUCAAGAUAUGGAAUUCACAGCUUGCCAUCGUUAUUAAUGGUCAACCAGACAUCAAAGUUGCAAUAUCAUGGGCCAAAGAAUCUCCAAUCCCUUGUUCAAUUUUAUGAGAAAACAACAGGACUCAAACCAGUUCAGUAUUUUGCUGA
rnacentral:misc_RNA from 1 species